GCGCGUCAAGACUCUCUAAAUCAGUUCAUAUCCCGUCUCCUAUAGCUAGACGGCGGAACUCUGUCUCUCUCUUUCUCUCGCUCGAUCUCUCGCUCAAAGCUGGUUCUUAACAAUUUGGCCUCAGUUGCUAUCACGACUACAGAAUCAAGCAAGGUCUCUCUAUCACUGCCCUAAAUUAGUGAUUUCUGUUCGCCUCAGUCAGGUGAAGAAGAAAAGCUACAACUUUGAUGCACUAUUAUCAUCGCUAAUUAUUCCUGGGAUUGGUCUUGGAUAGAGUCAAUUCAAUGAAUAUUUGGAGGAGAGGCCAGAAGAUGAACAAGAUGAUACUUUUCGUGAAGAGGUAUUCACUAAAGUGAUGGGAGAAGAUGCACAUGGACGUGUUCGCAUGUAUGGAACAGGUGUAACUCCAUCUCAAGUGUCUGGUAAUUCCAAAGCUUAUGAGACUAAUGAGAAAAGGACAAUUGAGGAAAUGGAAAGAAAAUAUGAGGAAAUGGAAAAAAACUAUCAAACAAAGCUAGAUGAUCUUAAAUUGAGCCAUGAAUCUCAAUUGGGAGACAUGAAAUUAAAGUACGAUGAUGUAUCGAAUCGUCUCAAUCUUUUGAUGGCUCAUGUUGGUAUCCAAGUAAACCCAAGUUGAAGUACAAGUGAACAGAUUCAUGAUUCCUCAAGUCCACAACAACUUAGGCGUAAUAUAGAUACUGAUGGACAUCGUCAAUUGAAUUUGGAAGGGCAGCGACAAUUAUCUUCGUCUACAAACACAACUACAUGAUAAACUAUAAGGUUGGAGAAAUAUCUAGGUGUUGAUGCUGGAAGUACAAGAUGUCAAUAAAUUUAACAAUUAGCAUGCUACUCUAAACUCGAUUAUUUAGUUUAAUAUUUUGACUACUACUGUAUUCGCAGCGACUUUUUAGUUUGUAUGACUCAAGGCAUUUGUUAUACAAUUAUUAUGUAUAUUACUCUUUCGUAUCAUUUCAAC